UGUGUACUCCAUCCGUUCCAAAAUACUUGACUUCCAUUUGUCCAAAAAUGGAUGUACCUAUAUACUAAAACAUGUCUAGAUACAUAUAUAUUUUUACAAAUAGAAGGCAUGUAUUGUGCAAUGGAGGGAGUAGAAU
rnacentral:pre_miRNA from 1 species